UCCUAUAUCAGAAAGCAUCUGCUCUCAGGCCAGAGCCACAUGUAUGGAGUGAGAUCUCUCAGAGAGGUGGUGGCUAUGGUAGGAUAAGCUGGGAGUGACCUGUCCCCAGCACACACCCUCGUUAGAACCCAGGGGAACAGAGGCUCUUAAAGGGCCAAUAUGAGGAGACAUUUUAUCAACGAUAGCUAUGCUACAUAGAUCAUUUAGAAGCCGGCACAUCCAGCUGUUGCUGAAACAAAGCAGGACUGCAUAAGAUUCCCUUGAUGCUAAAAUACAGAUUCCCAGGGACCACUCCCAGAGAUUCUGAUUCUGUAGGUCUAAGCCAGAGGUGGUGGUGCAUACCUGCAGUCCCAGCAACUCUGGAUGCUGAGACGGGAG